rnacentral:rRNA from 1 species
GACGAACGCUGGCGGCGUGCUUAACACAUGCAAGUCGAACGGAAAGGCCCUGCUUUUGUGGGGUGCUCGAGUGGCGAACGGGUGAGUAACACGUGAGUAACCUGCCCUUGACUUUGGGAUAACUUCAGGAAACUGGGGCUAAUACCGGAUAGGAGCUCCUGCUGCAUGGGGGGGGUUGGAAAGAUUCGGCGGUUGGGGAUGGACUCGCGGCUUAUCAGCUUGUUGGUGGGGUAGUGGCGUACCAAGGCUUUGACGGGUAGCCGGCCUGGGAGGGUGACCGGCCACAUUGGGACUGAGAUACGGCCCAGACUCCUACGGGCGGCAGCAGUGGGGAAUAUUGCACAAUGGGCGGAAGCCUGAUGCAGCAACGCCGCGUGCGGGAUGACGGCCUUCGGGUUGUAAACCGCUUUCGCCUGUGACGAAGCGUGAGUGACGGUAAUGGGUAAAGAAGCACCGGCUAACUACGUG